CCUUGGGAACUACAUGGAAGUUGGUAGAACUACAGUGAAGAAGGAGGUGGGGUCGCCACUUAAAAGAAAGCGAUUUACUUUCCUUUGAUGAUUGGAGGCAAGAAACAUUGGUCAACGAGCACCUUUUGACAGAAGAGGAAAGAAUAAUCCUGAAAAGAAGGUUGAAAAGAAGCCUGUGGAGAUGAACAUCCAGUCCAGCCUCCUGGAUCCUCCCCUCCCAACGUUCCACUGGCAGCAGAACCUCGAGUCUUUGAAAUACACUUUCACAGUCCAAUUUUCUCUAUAUAUCAGAAGAUAUAAACAAACACAAAGAUUUAAUACAGAUCAAGAUUUAUUGGAAACAAAGAGCAAUAAUGGUCAAGGCUGACUGACAACACAACUUGUGUACUUGUACUUCAUAAAGACUGGGAUCUAACCAGAGUACAUGAAGAUGUGAGCCACUUUGAACUCCCUAUGCAAAUCUUCACAAUGCCCAGGGGACUCCAUCUCAACUUCAAGAUGCAAACCUUUACAAGCGUGCAGCUGUUCCGGACUUCAAGAAUGCAUGCAAAGCCCAUAAUCAUGCCAGUUAUGUAACCUGUCAUGCAAGCCUCAUCCUUCCAAAGCAUGUAUCCCCAGAGGACAUAUAUGGUUAUGCACAGAGAACCUGCUGUCUCCUAAGUAGACCCACUUUCCAUAAAUUUACAAUUAAUAUUAAUCCUGAUCUUGAAAAUAAGCUGUGAACCGAAGCAAAUUGCCUUAAAAACAGAUUUUCAUUAAUGAAGAGAUUCACUGUAUGCUUCUCCCUGACUACCAUCCUCUCUUGGCUGUUGUGAGAAACCACAAAGCAUCUUCUCUGGUGAGAUCCAUACUGUGACUACUAACACAGCAGGGGGGGCACUUUUUUACUUAAUUAGGGGAGAAAUACCUGUAAUGGCAGAACCUCAUUCACCUCUGUCAUUCAUUUCCUCUCUGGUCACUUACUGUGAUAUUGCAUACUGAUACAGCACCUCCACAUAGCCAUGUAUCUAACAAGUGUACCAGCUCAAUGCCUAGGCAACCUUUAACCUUCCAUCUGUCCUCAUGCACACCUGGAACAUCAACACGCAUGUUGGUUCAACUCAAGCAUUCACUGACGGUUGAGUAUGUUUAUAGACUCCCCAACUUGCCCAUUCCUCCAGCUUGUGCUCCUCCUCUCUGACUCAUUCUCCUUGCUUACACUCACUUGAGUUGUGUUCUUCAUAGAGGUGGAUACAUUUACCCAGGGCUUUAGCAAUAAUAUCUUUUUUCUUUUUGUAUAUAAACUGCUGUUCUCUUAGAUACUAGGCAAAAAUAAUCUGGUGCCCAGUUUCCAAAUAUAUCUCAGAUGGGCUGAUGAAAUAGUAUUUUAGAGGAAAAGC